rnacentral:rRNA from 1 species
UUUUACAAGUCUGGUAAUUGGAAUGAGUACAAUCUAAAUCCCUUAACGAGGAUCAAUUGGAGGGCAAGUCUGGUGCCAGCAGCCGCGGUAAUUCCAGCUCCAAUAGCGUAUAUUAAAGUUGUUGCAGUUAAAAAGCUCGUAGUUGAAUUGGUGCAGAGUGCAACUCGCUGUGCCCUUCGGGGUGACUCCGUGUUUGGUUCUGCAUUCUGGUGGCCUAGUAAGCGCAUUUGUAUUUA